GGGGUUUUAGUUUAAUAAAAGAUAUCUAUUUUGCAUGUAGGAGAUUUAACUCUA
rnacentral:tRNA from 1 species